rnacentral:lncRNA from 10 species
CAGGGGUGAGCCACCAUACCCGGCCAUAUUUUUUUUUUUUUCUUAUUGAGACCCAGGACCAUUUCCAUAGUGACAUAGAGACCAUUUUCAAUGAUGUGAUAGACAUGCCAUCUGCAUGGUUGUUACUAGAGUAUUUCAGUCUACAAUCUUUAUCUGCCCAUCCUGGCACUCAGGUUCCUCUCCAGUGUAAAACAGCACUCUGAUUUUGCUCUGAAGAAUGCUCUCUGUAUGUCUUUGCCCAUGUGUUGUAGCAAUGUUAAGUCCCUCGUGCUCUGGACGUGUAGAUGAGUCCUGUCAAGGCUUCCCACUGACAGUGUCUCAUUCUCUAGGACAGUGAUAGUACUUUCUGGGAUUUUUCUUAGAGUUAUGUGGAAAGAGGAGUUAUCUUUUUCCUGUGAAGUCUACAGCUUCUGGAGGCCAUCUUGCCCCUAUGAAGUUAGAAUCCUCCUGAAUCAGAUAAACAAGUUAACACAAAGACAACUCGAGCUGAGACUUGUGGAAAGAUGAAUUCCUGACUAUAUGAGUGUGCAUCAGCCUUUUCUGAAGAUGGACCUGGACUAUUAGUUUUAUGGAACAACUCAUUUUCUUUGAUUUUAAAGCCUAUUUGAGUUAGAAUGUGGUCAUGUGAAACCAAAAAAAUUCUCUUUAUUGUCUUUGUUUUCCUCUCUGUUUCUCCCAGUUGACUGCAAAUAAUUCCAAGUCAGGGAUUGUGUCUUAAUAUGAUUUUUAUGUUUAAUAUCCAGGAAAGUAUUCAAGAAAAAUUCUUAAAUGAAUAUUUGAAGAGCAAAUGUAGAUAAGCACACAGAAAUUUGAUAUUAUUGAAAGAUUCAUGCAGCAGCAACAAUAUAUUAAACACUAUCUUAACUUUUCAAAAUUUGAAAUGAAAGUUUUCAGAGAUAUAAAUAUAUUGCUAUGGAAUACAAAAAAUGCCAUUAGUGAUUUUUUCCUAUGAAGCUACCUAAAUUUCUCUUUUAUUUUUCUUUCUUUUCCUCUUGAAUUUGGAAAAUAUACAAGAGUGUUUUAAUUAUUAUUACAUUUCUUAUAUAAAAAAUAAUGCUAGAUCAAUUAUUGAGAAAUGGUACAGUUUAACAAAAGUUAACUUUUGGUAGGAGAUUAGCCAUUCACUUAGCAAAUAUGAUCCACACAAAAUAAAGCAUAUAGAAAAUUCAAAACUAAAGAAACACAUUGUUCAACUCCAUUUACUAAAAUUUUAUUACUAGAAUUUAUUUGUUUGCAGGUCUCUUUGAUCUCUUCAAACCAACCACAUUUUAGUGAUAGAAUCAUGCGAUUUUGUGAUGAAAUCAUGCCAGUUUGGAACCUCUUCCUUAUAGCAAAACAAUGAGAAUGACCUCAAUUUCGGCAGAUGUCAGCAGUAUUUCAACAAAACAGCUAAAAACAUAUUGAUAAAAUGUGAAAAUAAAUUAAACAAUAACAUGUAUUUAUUUAAAUCUAAGUUUAUAUCUUUUGGUUUAUAUGCAUAUAUAAAAUUGUAUUCUUUAGUCAUUUAUUUGCAUCAGAAUACAACUUCUUUCCUUGUAGUAGUCGUGGGUCUGACAUGAGGCUAGAUCAUUGCGAUGACUACAGAACUGAGGAUUUCUGGGAAAAAUGUGGAAGAAGUGGAAGAUACUGAUUUAAGAUCUUUUCAGCCUGAAGAAUUAUGUAAUUAAACCGUAAUUCUACCGUAUUUUUCCCCCUUAUAGUUUCUGAGUCUAGGGAAUGAGGGAAGAUGACUGUUAUUAAAUCAUUUGUUUGUCACAUCUCCCUAUAAAACAUAUGGUCAUAGACAUUGCUAUGGCAUCCCUCCACUGUGUCUCAGUAAAGAGAAAAAAAAAUAAAUUCAUUAAAACAAGAAUGAAGUCAAAGAGCUUCUAAUGAAAAAUAAUUUUAUAAAAUUUAUUUUAUGAGACAGUAUAGUUAUCAUGCUAAGAAAUUCAAUAGAUUAUGGAGUAUGAACCCUUGCGACUAGUCAUUACAUAAUAUUUGUUCAUGAGAUGCCAGGAAUUUACCCAAUUUUUAAUAUAAUUAAGCACUGAAACUUUAAUGCAUUAAAUUCAUAUAAGUUUACAAUUAAAAUAGAAGGUGACAGGGUAAUUAAUGUUUCUUUUUUUCUCUGUGUUUUUCUUCUUUCUUCCCCCCAGCCUGCCCCAAAAAGGUCACCGUUUAAUACUGCAGUCUUCUGUUUAAUUGAAAGUUGUCUUGGAAAUUUUUUUAUGCAAAACUUUAUACACAUUCUCUGCUUGCUGCACUCCACAUGUGUGAAGAAAAUUAAGAAAUAAGCUAUUAUCACAGUGCAAAUAAAAAUUUAACAACAUCAAAAUUGCAAACUCUCUUUACAGUAUAUAAAUUGAUGAAAUGUAUGAAACAAUAUCCUCUUUCUCUGUGUCCCUGAGGUUUUCUACUUAAAAAGGAAGCUAACUGAGCUGCUGUCAGAAGUCAUGUACUGUAUGAGACAUUUUCACAUAUGUCACUGAACCUUCUUAGCAACCUCAACAAGGAGUAUUUUCUCCUCUUUACACAGAAAGAGAGUGAGGCUUAACCAAAGAAUAAAUGAGCAACUUACCCAAGGUCACAAACAUAGGAAGCAACUGACCAGGGACUUAAACUCAGUUCUGCCUAACUUCAAAACCUAUUACUUAAGGGAUUUGCCUUUCGGUUGACUGGUUUUUCAAGUAGUAAUGAAAAUAGUAUCUUUAUGUAGUGGAAACUGGAACUGCUGUCAGAAGCUCCUUCCAAAUGAAAAGUGGCAUCAUUAUUUUCUUUUCUCAUGUAAUAGGCCGUGCAGUUUAUCUAAUAAUACAUAAUUAUGAGAUACUUAUUAAUCUUAUAAUAUAAAUACUUAUGUAAAAUAAAAAUGUUUUUUAUUCUUUUAAUUAUACUUUUAAGUGUUCCUGUAGUAUAAAUAAUAAAUGUUAUUAUUUUCUGACCUAUGUUUCAACCAGAGAAAUAACAAGUAGAGUUUGUGUUGAAAAUCAAUGUAUUAUUCAAGAACAUACCAGGGGGCCAGGAAGAAGUCCAUUUGCUUCAGAGCAUAGAAAAGAAUCUUCUGGCCCAGUCCCCGUUUUAUGCAUCAGCAUAUAAACUAUGAAAGCAUGCAGUAUGUAAUCAAGUGGUAAUGUGUGUAGCAUGGAUUAUAAAACCUUUCAGAAUUUAAAGGACAGAUUAAGGAAUAAACUUUAUCAUUAUAAAGGUAAAGAGAUACAGCAUCCCUGUUAGAUUUAAUUGUCUGUAUAUGUGUACUGCGAAAAGUUAUUUUUUCCUGGGAUGCACUGUAAUUUCUCAUUUUAAGGAAAAAAUUUUCAGCUGGGAGACAAGUAGAAAGAAGAAAAUAUCACUGAUAUGAUCCCAUUAAAAUAAGUAGGAUAUCAUAAAUUGAAGUACAGAAACCACCAGUUUCCUUUAUUAGAAUUUUUUUCAGGCAAUGUCUCUGCUGGUCUCCUGUGCUCACACUGGAUCAUAUCUAGCAACAGCACCAUAUGAAAAAUGGCCACAGCAUACUUAAUUACCUUCGUUAAUUACUCAGAGAUCUGCAGCAGCAAGAGUAUCUCACAUGGGUCGGUUUUAUUUCUGCUUUGUAAUUAUGUGUGCAACCAGGUUUCCCUUAGAAAACAAAUGAGCAGAGCUGUAAACAAAAGUCACUAACAAGAAACAAAGGUGAUCAUUUCUAUGGCUGAAAGCCAUGAAUUUGGAAAAACAAAACAAAACAAAAAACUAAUCUUUCAGAAAAUCCAAUUUCAAACUUCCACGUUCACAAGAAGUUAUCUCCAAAUUCCCUGAAUUAGUCAUAUGUGUGGUCUAUGAGAAACUAGUGAGUCUCUUCUCCUCUAACUGUAAUUGAUGAAUGAAGGAGAUAACCACUACCAUGUGACCUCAAAUGCUGUAGCUAGUUGGCACCACAGAAAAGUUAAUUAUAAUCCUUGAAACAAUGUAGCAUUUCAUUUUGCAACCAUGAAUCAUUUGCUGUUUUGUCUAGUCUCCUGAGAGUCAUUUUUAUAGUAAACUAGUCUUUAUAGUGUCACACAGUGAUUAGCAACAGUGACACAUUUUACAGAUUGGGUUCUCAGAGCUGUGCCUACCAUGUUGCUAUAAAAAGUUUGGUAGAGAUCUUAGUGUUAAUAAUCUUGAUUUGUCCUUACAAAACAAAAUUGGACUAAGAUUAUAGCCAAAUUACUCUUAACAACAUUGUAUGAUUAAAUACAUUGUAAUAAAUUGGACCAACAAACAUGAGAGGAGAAGGAGGUGAAACUGUCUUCCCAACAGGUUAACUUAUAUUUGCAUGUUUGUCAAUUAAUGACAUUUACAGUUUAGAAAAGUGUUUGAAAGCUCACAAUGUAAGAAGAGGUUCCUAUCCUAUUAGGUUUAAAUAUCAAAAUGCUCUGAAUAUUCUUAAAACAUUCUCAACUUUAAAAAUGGCAACACAUUUUCUACGGAUAUCAUUUACCAAAAAGUGUAACAGAUAAAAGAAGAUUUGAGAAAGAAUUUGGAAGAUUUGAGACGUCAGAAAGAAUAUGUAUUAGUCUGUUCUCACAGUGCUAUAAAGAACUGCCCAAGACUGAGUAAUUUAUAAAGGAAAGAGGUUUAAUUGACUCACAGUUCUGCAUGGCUUUGGAGGACUCAGGAAACUUACAAUCAUGGUAGACGGGGAAAUGAACACAUUCAUCUUCACAUGGUGGCAGGGGAGAGAAGUGCAGAGUGAAGGGUAGAAAAGCCCCUUAUAAAACCAUCAGAUCUCAUAAGAACUUACUCACUACCAUGAGAACAGUGAGAAUAGGGUGGGGGAAUGAACCCCAUGAUAUAAUAACUUCCUAUGAAGUUCCUCCCCCAACAUGUGAGGAUUAUAAUUCAAAUUACAAUUCAAGAUGUGAUUUUGGGUGAGAACACACCCAAACCAUAUAAUUCCCCUCUGGCCCCUCCCAAAUCUCAUGUCCUCACAUUUUCAAAACACAAUCAUGUCUUCUAGUCACCCAAAGUCUUAACUCACCAGCAUUAACCCCAAAGACCAAGUCUAAAGUCUCAUCUGAGACAAGGCAAGUCUCUUCCACCUAUGAGCCUGUAAAUUCGAAAGCAAGUUAAUUACUUCCUAGAUACAAUGGGGGUACAGGCAUUGGGUAAAUACAUGUUUCAAAUGGGAGAAAUUGGCCAAAACAAAGAGACUACAGACCCCAUGCAAGUCUGAAACCCAAUGGGGCAAUCAUUAAACCUUAAAGUUUCAAAAUGAUCGGUUUUGACUCCAUGUCUCAUAUCCAGGUCAUACUGAUGCAAGAGGUAGUCUCCCAUGGCCUUGAGCAGCUUCAUCUCUGUGGCUUUGUAGGGUAAAGCCCCCCUCCUGGCUACACAGGCUGAUAUUGAGUGUCUGACACUUUUCCAGGGACAUGAUGCAAGCUGUCAGUGGAUCUAAUACUCUGGGGUCUGGAGUAGGGUUGCCCUCUUCUCACAGCUCUACUAGGCAGUGCACUGUGGGGGACUCUGUGUGGUGGUUCCAACGCCACAAUUCCCUUCUGCACUGCCCUAGCAGUGGUUUUCUAUGAAGGCUUUGCUUCUGCAGCAUACCUCUGCCUGGACAUCCAGGCAUUUCCAUACAUCCUCUGAAAUCUAAGUGAAGGUUCCCAAACCUCAAUUCUUGUCUUCUGCACACCAGCAGGAUCAACAUCACAUGGAAGCUGCCAAGGCUUGGGGCUUGCACCCUCUGAAGCCAUGGCCUGAGUUGUACCUUGGCCCCUUUUAGCCAUGGCUGGAGUGGCUGGGAUACAGUGCACCAAGUCCCAAGUCCAUACACAGCAGGGAACCCUGGACCUGACCCAGGAAACUAUGUUUUCUUCCUAUGUUUCAUCCUGUGAUGGGAGGGGCUGCAGCAAAGGUCUUUGACAUGCCAUGUAGACAUUUUCCCCAUUGUCUUGGUGAUUAGCAUUCAGCUCAUUACUUAUGCAAUUUUCUGCAGCAGGCUUGAAUUUCUCCCCAGAAAAUGGGUUUUUCUUUUCUAUUGCAUUGCUAGGCUGCAAAUUUUUCAAACAUUUAUGCUCUGCUUCCUCUUGAAUAUUUCGCUGCUUAGAAAUUUCUUCCACCAGAUAUCCUAAAUCAUCUCUCUCAAGUUCAAAUUUCCACAGAUCUCCAGGGCAGGGGCAAAAUACCACCAGUCUCUUUGCUAAAACAUAGCAAGAGUCACCUUUGCUCUAGUUCCAAAGAAGUUCCUCUUCUCCAUCUGAGACCACCUCAGCCUGGACUUCAUUGUCCAUAUCACUACCAGCAUUUGGGUCAAAACCAUUUAACAAGUCUCUAGGAAGUUCCACAUUUUUCCAUAUACUCCUGUUUUCUGAGCCUUCCAAGUCUCUAGGACAUUCCAGACUUUCCCACAUUUUCCUAUCUUCUUCUGAGCCCUCCAAACUGUUCCAGCUUCUGCCUGUUACCCAGUUCCAAUGUCACUUCCACAUUUUGGGGUAUCUUCACUGUAGCACCCCACUCCUGGUACUGAUUUACUGUAUUGGCCCAUUUUCAUGCUGCUAUAAAGAACUGCCUGAGACUGGGUAAUUUAUCAAGCAAGAAGGUUUAAUUGACUCACAAUUCUGCAUGGCUCAGGAUGUCUCAGGAAGCUUGUAAUCAUGGUGGAAGGGGAAGCAAAUACAUCCUUCUUCAACUGGUGGCAGGAGAGAAAACUGCAGAGCCAAGGGUGGAUAAAACCAUCAAAUAUCAUAAGAACUCACUCACUAUCACGAGGACCACAUGAGGGAACCACCCCCCAUGAUCUAAUCACCUCCCACUAUGUUCCUGCCCCAACAUGUGGGGAUUAUAAUUUGGAUUACAAUUCAAGAUGAGAUUUUGGAUGGGGAGACAGCCAAACCAUAUCAGGAUACAUAUGUAAGCCAAGAUUGUGAAUUCCCAGCUGGACAUAGUAGCUCAUACCUGUGAUACCAGCACUUUGGGAGGCUCAGGCAGCAGGAUUGCUUGAGCCCAGGAGUUAAAAUCAGCCUGGGUGACAUCAGUUAAAAUCAGGGGCAAGGCCCUGUCUCUACAAAAAAUAC